CGUACAAAGGAAUUGACGGGGAGCACCACAACGGGUGGAGCUUGCGGUUUAAUUGGAUUCAACGCGAAUCUUACCGGGACGACAGCAAUAUGAAGGCCAGGCUGAAGACUUUGCCGGAUUAGCUGAGAGGUGGUGCAUGGCCGUCGUCAGUUCGUACUGUGAAGCAUCCUGUUAAGUCAGGCAACGAGCGAGACCCACGCCCACAGUUGCCAGCGUACUCUCCGGAGUGACGGGUACACUGUGGGGACCGCCGCUGCUAAAGCGGAGGAAGGAAUGGGCAACGGUAGGUCAGCAUGCCCCGAAUUAUCCGGGCUACACGCGGGCUACAAUGGUCAGGACAAUGGGUAUCGACACCGAGAGGUGGAGGCAAUCUCCUAAACCUGUCCUUAGUUCGGAUUGUGGGCUGCAACUCGCCCACAUGAAGCUGGAAUCCGUAGUAAUCGCGUUUCAAAAUAGCGCGGUGAAUAUGUCCCUGCUCCUU
rnacentral:rRNA from 1 species